rnacentral:hammerhead_ribozyme from 1 species
AAUCGAAACGCUCCUCCGGGAGCGUCGUCGGGAGAUGGACUACCCGGCCUGAAGAGAUAGUCCACC